rnacentral:pre_miRNA from 1 species
UCUCAAGUGUGCACACGUGGUCUCUAAACUUUAAAAAUAGCAUUUCGCUACCCCGACGUUAAGCUCCGUCAACACUUUUGGUCCCCAGACAGAUGCUAUUUUUAAUGUCGGGGUAGCGAAAUGCUAUUUUUAAAGUUUAGGACCACGUUUGCACACUCGAGA